AAUUAAAGUUAGGGUUUUUAUGACUUGUGUUAUUGAUACGAAUUUUAUUGAUUUAGGGAGUUUAGUUUGUAGUUGUAUGACGUAUAAAUGGGCAGAUUAUCUUUGACAGACUAAUUUUUUCUCUUGAAUGUUGAACGUAGAAGCUAAAGCUAAGACAAAAGUAUCUGAAGAACUGAGUUAUAGCUAAGUUAUCUUUCUUCGAAGAACUGAAGUGUUGAAGCUGGCAAUACCAAUAAUAUUUUGUCCCUAAUAUAGAUUUCGUCAAGCUUUGAAGGUUGAUCCACGCUGAUCUUACUUGCGACUUGUACCAUUCCAUGGAUCAGAUGAAUUGAUUGAAAAAAUAAUAAUGAAAUAUGACUUGACAAGUGUAGCAUGUGCUAAUGAGCUAAUCAUCUCAUUUUAGUAUAUUGAGGAAGGGCACUUACCUUGACCGAUCUUCUAUCCUGGGUAUCCUUUAUCAAUGUGACAGAGAGAAUUCUCCAACCAGAAUUUGUGUUCCUUCAAGGGGAGUUUCUUGUGAUUCUU